UGGGGGAUAUUGCACAAUGGGCGAAAGCCUGAUGCAGCGACGCCGCGUGGGGGAUGAAGGCCUUCGGGUUGUAAACUUCUUUUGCUCUGAACAAGGCAUGCCUUUGGGGUGUGUUGAGUGUCGGGGUUGAUUAGCGCCGGCUAACUACGUGCCAGCAGCCGCGGUAAUACGUAGGGCGCGAGCGUUGUCCGGAAUUAUUGGGCGUAAAGGGCUUGUAGGUGGCUGGUUGCGUCUGUCGUGAAAGCUCAUGGCUUAACUGUGGGUUUGCGGUGGGUACGAGCUGGCUUGAGUGCAGUAGGGGAGGCUGGAAUUCCUGGUGUAGCGGUGGGAUGCGCAGAUAUCAGGAGGAAUACCGGUGGCGAAGGCGGGUCUCUGGGCUGUUACUGACGCUGAGGGGCGAAAGCGUGGGGAGCGAACAGG
rnacentral:rRNA from 1 species